rnacentral:rRNA from 1 species
GGACCAAGGAGUCCAGCGAACGAGCGUGACGCAAAGGUUCAUUUUAUAGAAUCCGUCAAACUUAACGAAAGCAAUCGAGAGUCGUUUCGGCGGCUCAAGUUUGUAUGAUGAGACGUUUUGAUUUUUAUCGGCGUCUAGGCAAAUCGGAGAUGGCAAUUACGCGUUAGCAAUAGCGCUGCCGUACUCGUAGCUCGUGCUCUGGAACCCGAAAGAUGGUGAACUAUGCAUGGAAAGGAUGAAGCCAGGGGAAACUCUGGUGGAGGUCCGCAAUGGUUCUGACGUGCAAAUCGAUCAUCAGAACUAUGUAUAGGGGCGAAAGACCAAUCGAACCAUCUAGUAGCUGGUUCCUUUCGAAGUUUCCCUAAGGAUAGCUGAGGUCUAGUAACGAUAGUCACAUGCGGUAAAGCGAAUGAUUAGAGUCGUUGGGUUCGAAACGUUCUCAACCUAUUCUCAAACUGUUAAUGUGUGUGUUUUCCAUUAGCUAGCGUGCUACGUAGCAAGUGGAUAGAUAGUAAAGGCCUUCAGUGGGCCAUUUUUGGUAAGCAGAACUGGCGAUGCGGGAUGAACCGGUCGUAAAGUUAUAGUGCCAAAAUCAACGCAUAUCGGACCCCACAAAAGGCGUUAGUAACUAAAGACAGCAGGACGGUGGCCAUGGAAGUCGGC